rnacentral:lncRNA from 1 species
ACUAGCAUUUCUUUCCCAAGUUUUUCUCAGGAGAAUCCAGGUUAUCUAGGUAAAUGAAGCGUUUGUGUGUUGGCUGGUAUGACAAGCCGAGGGCAUGUCUUCAUAGCAGAAAAUACCAUCUGCUAAUUGAUUGAUGUCCCUUUAAAAAUCUCUUCCUUCUGUAACCUUUGUUUCCUUGUCAGCUAGACUUUCAGCCUAGGCUGUUGUUUUCCUGUUGACUCACUAUCACACCCCCACCCCGUCAGUGGUCAGUGUGGUUAUUGUUGUCCCCAUGCCAGGCAAUUUACUUGGUGCUGAUGUUUUGUUUCAUCACAACGACAACUCUUACCAUCUUCCUCCAGAGUAAAGAAAAGGUUGAAAAACUAAAACUUCAAGCUGAAUCCUUCUGCCAACGUUUGGGGAAAUACCGGAUGCCCUUCGCCUGGGCCCCAAUUAGCUUAGCAAGCUUCUUCAACGUCUCCACCCUUGAAAGGGAGAGCAAUGACAUGGAGACUGUGGUUGGGAGAAACUCUGUAGGUGAGCGAAGGAGUUUGUCCCAAUCCAGGAGGCCUUCUGAGAGAUCCCUCUCCUUGGAGGAAAAUGGAGUUGGAUCCAACUUCAAAACCACCACUUUGGCUACUAGUAUCUUCUUCAAGCAGGUAUUUGUGUUACAGUGCAGCUGAAUUUGUCUUGUAUUAUCGAGAAUGGUUACAGUUCAAAGGAGCAGUAUAGUGGGUGAUCAGAGAAGUUAAUUAGUGUUAUCUGCUCAGCUGUGCUGUUGCAGGGAUUAGAGGACAUGCAGAUGUGCUCCUUGCCAGGCAUCUGUCCCAUGGUGGGCAUGUAGAGGGCAG